CCUAACAGGUUCCAGUCACAAAAAAUAAGCUGCACAAACUACACAGCAUUUUCAUCCUGUUCCAAUGGUGUUGCUCACUUCCCAUUCAUCACAGCAAGCUGAUCCAUUUCUUCCCUAUCUAUUGUAACUUUUGGAAGUGCUUUAUAGAGUCUCAAGCUGAGUUACAUGCAUCCCAGUGUUUUUCUUUGGAAAAAUCAAAUUCAUUUCCCUCCUGGCACCAGAGUGCCUCAGAUAAAUAUUUGACAACAUAAAAGUGUUAGCACAAUACCAAAUUGUAAUGGGACUUCUGACUUGCAAUAGGACCCAAACAAACAAGUUUGCAAGAUUUGCACAUACACUGGGGAGGACGGGAUUAUUCUUUACUUGAUACAUUUAUAGGUAGGUAGGUAGGUAGGUAGGUAGAUAUAUU